GUCAAUUCUUUUUUCGAUUUGAACCCUAACAUUUUCAUUUUGGGCGGGAUGAAAUCAAAAGAAAAUCCUUUUGGGCGGGAUUAUUCCUACUUGAUGUUUUGGAAUAUAUAAGUUCAACUCUAAAAUUAGUCCAGGGAUGUUAAGAGAUACACCUUUUUUGGGGUAUUAUCAGUUCCGAGAUAAAAAAACAUCCAAGGGACUAAAAUUAAAGAAAGAAAAGUUGAAGAAAUUGUUGAAAACCAAUUAGAUUCAACCAAAAUUUUGGGAAAAAAGGAUAAUCACAUGCUAUUAUUCAUAAGUGGAUUGGACAGCUUUGCACAAGAGCAGUCAAUUGCGCUUAACUGAAAAGAAUAACAAAGGAAAAUGGCAUGCUAUUCAUAAGUGGAUUGAACAGCUUUGCACAAGAGCAAUCAAUUGCGGUUAACCGAAAAGGAAAACAAAGAAUGGAUAAAUCCUAGAUGAGUACUGAUAGAACAAAAAUACACUAUAGAGAAGGAGUCGCGGCGUUUCUGCGGUAUGCUGUCAACCAUGUCAAGGAGGAGGGUGAGACAUUUGAAGAAUUUCUUAUGCUGUGUCCAUGUACGGAUUGUUUAAAUUAUUGUGCAUGCUCAGUUGGCGACGUAGAAGAUCAUUAUUCUUAAAUGGAAUCGAUCAAACGUAUACUACUUGGACUAAGCAUGGGGAAAAGGAGGAGGCAACUAGUAGUAUGCCAGUUAACGUCAACAAUGGUAUGCACGCUGAAUUUGAAGAUUUCGGAAUAAGAACUCCCACUGAUGCUCCAGACGAAGAUUUUGGAAUGGGAACUCCCACUGAUGCUCCAGACACUAUAGAUAUGAUGUAGGCUGCAGAACAGUUCGCAGAUGACCCUAUAAAGUUUAAAAAGUUACUUGAAGAUGCUGAAAAGCCCUUAUACGAAGGAUGUCCCAGCUUCACAAAGUUGUCUGCAAUUGUGCAGCUGUUCAAGUUGAAGAGUAAGCACGGUGCAUCAGGCAUGUUUUUUAAUGAACCAUUACCCUUGUUAAAGGACAUGCUUCCCAAAGAAGGUAAGUUAAUGGCGAGGAGUACAUAUCAUGCCAAGAAAAUAUUGAAAGCAAUGGGUUCAGGGUACACAAAGAUACAUGCAUGUAUCAGCAACUGCAUUCUUUAUAGGAACGAGUACAAGGAUGAAAAAGUGUCCUACUUGUAAAACACCCAGAAGGAAAGUUGACAGGGACGGUAAAGUGUACGAGAAUAUUCCAGCAAAGGUAUUGUGGUACUUCGACAUCAUCCCAAGAUUUAAGCGGUUGUUUCAAUCGCCCACAACAGAAGAUUUGAUAUGGCACCAUACCACUAGAACCAAAGAUGGUGUUUUACGUCAUCCGGCAGACUCACAUGCUUGGAGAGAGAUAGAUGACAAAUUCCCAGAAAUUAAAGGUGAUCCAAGAAAUCUGCGGUUAGCUGCUUCGGCUGAUGGAGUUGAUGUAAACACAGGCACCAAACAUCACAGUGUAUUGCCAGUUUUGGUUGUGAUUUACAACCUUCCACCGUGGUUGUGUAUGAAUAGAAAGUUCAUCAUGUUGUCGUUACUUAUAGACGGUGCGCCUGGAAACAUCAUCGAUGUCCUUUUAGAACCUCUUGUUAAAGAUUCUCAAUUCUUACUCUACGUGCAGUUGUUUUGUGGGCGAUAAACGAUUAUCUUGCUCUUGGUACACUAUGUGGCUGUCGCUACGCUGGAUAUCAUGGUUGUGUAGUGUGUAGGAAAAAAACUCACGGUAUUAGGCUUCAUGACUCGAACAAGAAUGUUUAUGUUGGUUAUAGAAGAUUUUUACCCUAUGAGCAUCCAUUCAGAAGGAAGAAGAAGGCAUUUGGCGGAAAACAAGAGUGGGAGACUGCUCCAGAACCAAUAACCGGGGAAGAGAUAUAUGAGGAAGUAAAAUGUAUAAAGAAUUCAUGGGGAAAGAAGGGGAAGAAUACUUAAGUGGAAGACGUGCAAGCUACACCCAGAGAAGGUGGAAAGAUGAAGCGCAUCAAAAAAACGAAGAUUAAGCGCAUCAGAAAAAUAUCAAAGGAAAUCGAUAGGUCAGGUGAGGAAGAGGAAGGCAGGGAAACCACCUACUGGAGAAAGGACAACAUAUGGCAGCGACUACUUAGAUAUUGACGUUAUAAUGAUGUCCAACAUUUUAUUGAUUUCAUGCACGUCGAAAAGAAUGUGGGACAAAGUCUUGCUGGAACGUGUUGGGGUUUUGUUCCGUGAAGAUUCCGGAACUUAUCGGAACAUAAUGUGGGUGUUUCCCAAGUUAUGGUUUUCUUGUUUAGGAUUUCCUAAUUAAGGUGUGAGUCUAUUUUUAGGAGUUCUAAGACUUGGGGAUCAAAGAUUUUCUACUAUAUAAGAAGGCUUAUGUGGUGAAGGCUUAUGUGGUGAGUAGAAAUUCAUUCUCUUGUAGAAUCCUCUCUCUUUAUAAGAGUGAUUGGGUCACAACUGUUUUGUCCUACAAUGGUUGGUGAUGGAGCAAAAUCUAUGUGAGAAGAGAGACUUGUAGUGAGAACGGGUACGGGAGAAAUCUAGAGUUUCUAGGGUUCGUAUUGGAGAAGCUAGAGUUCGUGAUGUUUUUUCUUCUUGUCCAAAGUCGAAGCGACCAUGGCGGUGAAGGUUUAUGGAAGAAGAAG